CUGGUCAGGAUUAGUGCAUGCGUGCAAAAGUUACUCUUUCUUUUGGUUGCUCAGUGCAUGCGUACAGGUAAUGACAAUUUGUCAGAUAUCAUAAAAAAAUAUUAAAACUCUACUAUCUUGGAAUCCAGAUGCUGUAUUAUUUUCGUCUAAUUUUUUUUCCAAUGAUACCCUUAGUUGUAAUUCAAAAUUUCAUUGGGUUUGCUUUUAUUUUUCUUUUGCUGGCUCCCAUUUUAGUCUUUUUUACAUUUACGAUCUUUUUAGUUCUUCUUCAAUGCCGACACUCCCACCCACCAUCUCUCUCUCUCUCUCUCUCUCUCUCUCUCUCUCUCUCUCUCUCUCUCUCUCUCUCUCUCUCUCUCUCUCUCUCUCUGCGCGCUUAUUUCUCUUCACUGCCACACUCUCACCUCUAGCAAAGCAAAACCGAGACACCACUGCCUCUAUCAGUGAAGCACAGUCUCUCGCGUCGAAUCCCUGACUCGUGAAACUUUCCAACCUCAACAUUGCAUGCCUCUGGUCUCAGCCCGAUGAAGACGAAGAAGGCGACAAGGGCUGAGAAAUCUCAUCCUCCAUCUGAAUAAGAAACAGAGGUGGGUGAAGAAGAACACCGAGGGAUCUUCCCAAAGCUAUGUUUUUUUUUUCAAUUUUUUUUUUCAAACAACGAAUUUUUGAAUGAUUAUUUUACUGAAGCCAUCAAAAGAUUUUGUUCAAUGUUUUUGGGUUUUUUUUUUUUUUUUUUAGUGGGUGUGAUAGACAUCCAUAUGAUUUCAGUUCCUUUUGUUGGGUUAUUUUCUGUGAGAAAAUGAUCUAUCUGAUCAUGCACAUAUAAGCAUAUAUGACUUUUAUUCUGUUUGAGUUAUUAUUCCGUAUGGUUUUUAUUCACUGUUUGGUAAUUUUUUUUCCUGUUGUGUAUAUGCAUAUGAUGUAUAUGACUCGGUCGUUUGCUUUGUGUUCACCAUUUGGUGGUUGGCCGUGCAUGGAAGCUCUAUUUUGGCAACAGAGGUACCCAUGUCAUGCUGUGUUUAAUGGACGGAAUUAGUACAACUGAUGUUGGAUUCUUAGUGUCAAUUUGUUUAGAAGCUUGCUUGUAUUUAAUGACUGUCCACAUCACUUUCAAUAACCUUCUUAUUCGUUCUAAAAGAAGUUCCUUUAGUUUAUUAUAUUUUUUAUAUUUUGUUUCUUGAAUUUUGCAUGUGAGAUGCAUAUGAAUUGUUAUUUCUUCCCUCUUAUCAUAUUGAAUAUGAUGUUGCUGAUGUAUUCUUUUUUUGUUUUUGGUGAUUAUAAAUACAAUGGCAAGCACAUAUGGAGCAGUGGAAAUUUGGAUGAAUGAGCAUGUUCGAAGACUUUGCACAAAUAACUAUGCUGAUUUUGUAUACGGCUUUCUUGAGACUUCUUUAAAGAAAAGAAGUGAGCAUUGGCUUAUAUGGCGGUUUGAAGGGGAAGCCACAGUUUUAGAUUUGAUGUAAAGUAAAGAGUUCACCUAUAAUGUUGGUACUUCCUCUCAUCAGCAAUUUCAUGUAGUAUAUGAGGCCUCUAUAUUACAUUCACUAUGCUAAGUUUGAGAAUUUACUCUCUCAUCAGACAAACCCAAAUGUUUGGGUAUUUAUCAAAUGUUGUCACAUGUUAAAAGAUUUGAUGCAGAAUAGAAAAUGUGAAAACGCUAUAUCUUAUUUUAGGUAGAUGUAAACCCUUGAAUCUUCAAGGGAGUCGAACCCAUAAGGAAAAUUUUAUUGAUGAGGCUUGUAAAGGCUCUGCAAACCUUAUUUUCAAAGUGAAAAUCUUGUCUGCAAACCUUUUUUGCUCCUCUUGCCGUGAAAAAAAAUUUUGUAUACAUGUUUUUUAUUAUGUUUCUUUUGAUCAAUAGGUGCUUCAAAUACGAGUGCAAUUAACAAUUGCUCAAGUUUUAUAGAAAAAAAAAAUUGCCCCAUAUACUUAUGAUGCAGCUAUAUACUUAUCAAGGUGGGGAUGACAUCCGCCAUUUGGAGAUCUGUCUAAAAACACUCUACCUUGCAACUGGAAUUGGUGUUGCAGGAGUCCUCUGUUCCCGUAUUUUCUGGUUUUCCAGCUUUCCCAAAUGGUGAUUUCCAGAUGUUCCCAGUCAUGUACCUUGCACUUGUACCAAGCUUGAAUACUUUGCAAAAUCAGGAACAGAUUAAUCGUGGGGCCUCCAUUUAUGUUGUUCCUAUUUUUCCAUAUAAGAUGAUUUUUUUUUUUUUUUUAAUUUAAAGUACAUAAAUUUUUAUUGAACUUAAAAUUGUGGAUGAAUUGUUUUAUCGGUUACUCUUUGAGAUUGAUUUUUCUUCCCUAAAUCGAAUUAUGUAUCAAAUGUAAAGAAUUAUACUGUGUUUACUGUAUGGUGGACGCAUGAUAAGUAUUUUAUAGUAGUAUUGAUGCAGUAUAUUGUUGCU